ACUUGACGUUGGUUUACCAGCGAGUGGCGGACGGGUGAGUAACACGUAGGUAACCUGCCCCAAAGCGGGGGAUAACAUUUGGAAACAGAUGCUAAUACCGCAUAACAAUUUGAAUCGCAUGAUUCAAAUUUAAAAGAUGGCUUCGGCUAUCACUUUGGGAUGGACCUGCGGCGCAUUAGCUUGUUGGUAGGGUAACGGCCUACCAAGGCUGUGAUGCGUAGCCGAGUUGAGAGACUGAUCGGCCACAAUGGAACUGAGACACGGUCCAUACUCCUACGGGAGGCAGCAGUAGGGAAUCUUCCACAAUGGGCGCAAGCCUGAUGGAGCAACACCGCGUGAGUGAAGAAGGGUUUCGGCUCGUAAAGCUCUGUUGUUAGAGAAGAACGUGCGUGAGAGCAACUGUUCACGCAGUGACGGUAUCUAACCAGAAAGUCACGGCUAACUACGUGCCAGCAGCCGCGGUAAUACGUAGGUGGCAAGCGUUAUCCGGAUUUAUUGGGCGUAAAGCGAGCGCAGGCGGUUUGAUAAGUCUGAUGUGAAAGCCUUUGGCUUAACCAAAGAAGUGCAUCGGAAACUGUCAGACUUGAGUGCAGAAGAGGACAGUGGAACUCCAUGUGUAGCGGUGGAAUGCGUAGAUAUAUGGAAGAACACCAGUGGCGAAGGCGGCUGUCUGGUCUGCAACUGACGCUGAGGCUCGAAAGCAUGGGUAGCGAACAGGAUUAGAUACCCUGGUAGUCCAUGCCGUAAACGAUGAGUGCUAGGUGUUGGAGGGUUUCCGCCCUUCAGUGCCGCAGCUAACGCAUUAAGCACUCCGCCUGGGGAGUACGACCGCAAGGUUGAAACUCAAAGGAAUUGACGGGGGCCCGCACAAGCGGUGGAGCAUGUGG
rnacentral:rRNA from 1 species